CCUACGGGUGGCAGCAGUGAGGAAUAUUGGUCAAUGGUCGGGAGCCUGAACCAGCCAAGUCGCGUGAGGGAGGACGGUACUACGGGUUGUAAACCUCUUUUGUCAGGGAACAAAGUGUGGCACGUGUGCCUGGUUGAGUGUACCUGAAGAAUAAGCAUCGGCUAACUCCGUGCCAGCAGCCGCGGUAAUACGGAGGAUGCGAGCGUUAUCCGGAUUUAUUGGGUUUAAAGGGGGCGCAGGCGGAUUGUUAAGUCAGCGGUAAAAGUUCGGGGCUCAACCCCGGACUGCCAUUGAAACUGGCAGUCUUGAGUACGAGAGAAGUAUGCGGAAUGCGCGGUGUAGCGGUGAAAUGCAUAGAUAUCACGAAGAACUCCGAUUGCGAAGGCAGCAUGCUA
rnacentral:rRNA from 1 species